rnacentral:sRNA from 1 species
GCAGGGCACGGUGGUGCACACCUGUAAUCCUAGCAGCUCAGGAGGCUGAGGCAGGAGAAUCACAACUCAGUGAGACCCUGUCUCUA